GAUGAACGCUAGCUACAGGCUUAACACAUGCAAGUCGAGGGGAAACGAUAUUGGAAGCUUGCUUCCGAUAGGCGUCGACCGGCGCACGGGUGAGUAACGCGUAUCCAACCUGCCCACCACUUGGGGAUAACCUUGCGAAAGUAAGACUAAUACCCAAUGAUAUCUCUAGAAGACAUCUGAAGGAGAUUAAAGAUCUAUCGGUGAUGGAUGGGGAUGCGUCUGAUUAGCUUGUUGGCGGGGUAACGGCCCACCAAGGCGACGAUCAGUAGGGGGUCUGAGAGGAAGGUCCCCCACAUUGGAACUGAGACACGGUCCAAACUCCUACGGGAGGCAGCAGUGAGGAAUAUUGGCCAAUGGGCGAGAGCCUGAACCAGCCAAGUAGCGUGCAGGAUGACGGCCCUAUGGGUUGUAAACUGCUUUUAUAAGGGAAUAAAGUGAGCCUUGUGAGGCUUUUUGCAUGUACCUUAUGAAUAAGGACCGGCUAAUUCCGUGCCAGCCGCCGCGGUAAAAC
rnacentral:rRNA from 1 species